rnacentral:tRNA from 3 species
AGAAAGUUAGUCUAACCAAGACAGUUGAUUUCGACUCAACAGAUUAUAGCUUAUACCCUAUAACUUUCUU